CUUAUUGGGAGGUGGGAAGCUGAAUCUAUGAUCUAACCAAGGCUACCUGACAUUCCACAAGAAGAUGGUGUGGGAGUUUCAAGCUCCCCAGACAAGCCCAGGCUGGGCUCCUGUAGUCACAAGUGUGCACAUCACAUACCUGAUCGGUGGGCCUUUAUUAACAACAGAAACUGAAGCAACCAGUGUGUAUUACAGUGACAGAGAAAACAGCCAGCUCCUCUGUGCUGUCAUAACGACACUGAAGUACAACUAAGAAACCUGGUCACGGGAUAUUAAAGACAACUUUAAAAAGG